UACGUAGGGUGCGAGCGUUAAUCGGAAUUACUGGGCGUAAAGCGUGCGCAGGCGGCGCGUUAAGACAGGUGUGAAAGCCCCGAGCUUAACUUGGGAAUUGCGCUUGUGACUGGCGUGCUGGAGUGUGGCAGAGGGAGGUGGGAAUUCCACGUGUAGCAGUGAAAUGCGUAGAGAUGUGGAGGAACACCGAUGGCGAAGGCAGCCUCCUGGGCCAGCACUGACGCUCAUGCACGAAAGCGUGGGGAGCAAACAGG
rnacentral:rRNA from 1 species